AUUGAACGCUGGCGGCAUGCCUUACACAUGCAAGUCGAACGGCAGCACGGGGGCAACCCUGGUGGCGAGUGGCGAACGGGUGAGUAAUGCAUCGGAACGUGCCCAGUAGUGGGGGAUAACCAGUCGAAAGACUGGCUAAUACCGCAUACGACCUAUGGGUGAAAGCGGGGGACCGUAAGGCCUCGCGCUAUUGGAGCGGCCGAUGUCUGAUUAGCUAGUUGGCGGGGUGAGAGCCCACCAAGGCGACGAUCAGUAGCUGGUCUGAGAGGACGACCAGCCACACUGGGACUGAGACACGGCCCAGACUCCUACGGGAGGCAGCAGUGGGGAAUUUUGGACAAUGGGCGAAAGCCUGAUCCAGCCAUGCCGCGUGCAGGAUGAAGGCCCUCGGGUUGUAAACUGCUUUUGUACGGAACGAAAAGACUCUGGUUAAUACCUGGGGUCCAUGACGGUACCGUAAGAAUAAGCACCGGCUAACUACGUGCCAGCCGCCGCCGUAACAC
rnacentral:rRNA from 1 species